rnacentral:rRNA from 1 species
AUGGAGACCGCAGAGGCAGGCGAGAAGAAGAUGAUCAUGCUCAAGUCGUCCGACGGCAUGGAGUUCGAGGUGGAGGAGGCAGUCGCCAUGGAGUCGCAGACCAUCCGCCAUUUGAUCGAGGAUGACUGCGUCGACAAAGGCAUUCUGAUUCCCAACAUCAACUCCAAGAUCCUCUCCAAGGUCAUCGAGUACUGCAACAAACACGUCCCGACCAUGCCAGGUGUCGUCGCCACUAGAGCCACAGGUGCCGCUGCGUCUGAUAUCGUGGCUCCUGCCGCCCUAGCUGAAGACCUCAAGAUCUGGGACGCAGAAUUCAUCAAGGUCAACCGUGCCACCCGCUUCGACCUCAUCCAGGCUGCAAGUUACCUCAACAUCAAGGGGUUGUUGGACCUGACUUCCCAGAUUACUGCCGAGACGAUUAGUGGCCAUACCCUGGAGGAGAUCCGUGGUUUCUUGAGCAUCAAGAAUGACUACUACUUGCCUGAGGAGGAGGAGGAGGAGACGAUCCGCAGGGAGAACCAGUGGGCAUUUCAGUAG